GAACCAGAGCUAGGAAACGUAGCGAAACUUUACAGAAGCUACACGAACACCAGCCUACGUGACUAUACGUUAAAAUGUUUUGCACCAUUGUAGCGCUGGUCUUGCUCCUUAUUUGUGGAAACAAUACAAUGGCGGAGACACAAUGUGAAGCCGCCAAAGGAAAGACAACAUGUAUAACUGAAGAUCUGCUUGAGAUGUUAAUUAAUAUAAAAGACCACAAAAUCCAAGUUCCAAAAGUGAGACCAGUAUUUUUUGCCUUCCUGAAAAGUCAUACAAAAUAUUCUGGAUCAAUGAUAUACAAGUUUGACGAUGUUAGAACAAACAUUGGAAACGGGUAUAACCCAAAUACAGGAGUUUUUACAGCAUCGGAGAAAGGUAUCUACCAAAUUAGUUGUGUGAUUUCGGGUGUUAUGAACUCAGAUGUAUAUUAUCAAGUAAUGAGGAACGAUACUUAAUUUGCUAACGGAUCAACAAGCAAGGGUACCUGGGAAUCUAGUACUAAUAUCUGGAUCAUGGAGUUAGUGAAAGGUGAUCGUGUGUAUAUACAACACAGACAUGAUUCACGUGAAGUUCAUGCAAAUCUACACACAUACUUUGGAGGUUAUUUAUUGUAGUAAAUAAAAUACACAAGUAAUUUU